rnacentral:tRNA from 1 species
UCCCUGGUGGUCUAGUGGUUAGGACUCUGCACUGCAGAGGACACGGGUUCAAACCCUGUCAAGGAAC